GAAGUAAAAGUCUAACAAGGUUUCCGUAGGUGAACCUGCGGAAGGAUCAUUCAUAAUAAGUGUUUUAUGGCACUUUUUUAAAUCCAUAUCCACCUUGUGUGCAAUGUCAGGGUUGAUUUUUCUCUCGAGAGGAUCAACCCCAAACAUCAACUAUAUCUCAACUCUUUGUCUGAAAAAUAUUAUGAAUAAAACAAUUCAAAAUACAACUUUCAACAACGGAUCUCUUGGCUCAC
rnacentral:misc_RNA from 1 species